rnacentral:rRNA from 1 species
UGCGGUUAUACAAAAAUUAAAUUAAAUUUUUUUAUGAUUAAUAAAUAAUAAUUAUUUAAUAAUUUAAAUUUUAAAUUAAAAAGUGAAAUUUUAAUUUAAUUAAAGUUUAUUUAUUUUUAUGACAUUAAUAAAUUUUAUAAAAAACUAGGAUUAGAUACCCUAUUAUAAAAAUUUAAAUUUAAUAAUCUUAAAAUAGUAUAUAUUUUUUAUAGAAACUUAAAUAAUUUGGCGGUAUUUUAGUUCAUUUAGAGGAAUCUGUCUAAUAAUUGAUAAUCCACGAUUAAAUUUACUUAAUUUUUAAUUUUGUAUAUCGUUGUUAAAAAAAUAUUUUUUAUAAAAAAUAAUAUUUUAAAAUUUUAAUAAAAAAAAUUAAAUCAGAUCAAGAUGCAGAUUAUAAUUAAGAAUAUGAUGGAUUACAAUAAAUUUUAUUUUUGGAUAUUAAUUUGAAAUAAAUUAAUUGAAAUUGGAUUUAAAUGUAAUUUUAUUAAUUUUGUUAAAAUGAUUUUAAAUUAAAAUAUGUACAUAUUGCCCGUCGCUUUCAUUUAUAAAUUGAAAUAAGUCGUAACAAAGUAGAGGUACUGGAAAGUGUUUCUAGAAAGAU